GUGAUCUCACUUGAACAGGAUAUGUUCUAUAGACUCGUACCUCGGUAUCCUUUUAGUGCCAAAAAAAAAAAAGAAGAAGAAGCUUGCUUGGUGGAGAGGAGAGAGAGGGGAUAUAUGGACCAGCAGCGGAUAUAUUUGGUAAAUAAUUUUUA
rnacentral:snoRNA from 1 species